rnacentral:rRNA from 1 species
AUAAACGCUGGCGGCGUGCAUGAGACAUGCAAGUCGAACGGGCGUCUCGGGCUUGCUCGAGACGCUAGUGGCGAACGGCUGAGUAACGCGUAGGUGACCUGCCCCGAAGUGGGGAAUAACUGCCCGAAAGGGUGGCUAAUACCGCAUGUGGUCGCACGUUUCAUGCGUGCGAGUAAAGCCGCAAGGCGCUUCGGGAGGGGCCUGCGUCCGAUUAGCUCGUUGGUGGGGUAAUGGCUCACCAAGGCGACGAUCGGUAGGUGGUCUGAGAGGACGAUCACCCAGACUGGGACUGAGACACGGCCCAGACUCCUACGGGAGGCAGCAGUCGGGAAUUUUGCUCAAUGGGCGAAAGCCUGAAGCAGCAACGCCGCGUGAGGGAUGAAGGCCUUCGGGUUGUAAACCUCUUUUCCCAGGGAAGAUGAUGACGGUACCUGGGGAAUAAGCCACGGCAAACUACGU